AUUGAACGCUGGCGGCAGGCUUAACACAUGCAAGUCGAGCGGGGUGAUGAUGCUUGCACUAUCACUUAGCGGCGGACGGGUGAGUAAUGCUUAGGAAUCUGCCUAUUAGUGGGGGACAACAUCUCGAAAGGGAUGCUAAUACCGCAUACGUCCUACGGGAGAAAGCAGGGGAUCAUUUGUGACCUUGCGCUAAUAGAUGAGCCUAAGUCGGAUUAGCUAGUUGGUGGGGUAAAGGCCUACCAAGGCGAUGAUCUGUAGCGGGUCUGAGAGGAUGAUCCGCCACACUGGGACUGAGACACGGCCCAGACUCCUACGGGAGGCAGCAGUGGGGAAUAUUGGACAAUGGGGGGAACCCCGAUCCAGCCAUGCCGCGUGUGUGAAGAAGGCCUUAUGGUUGUAAAGCACUUUAAGCGAGGAGGAGGCUCUUUUGGUUAAUACCCAAGAUGAGUGGACGUUACUCGCAGAAUAAGCACCGGCUAACUCUGUGCCAGCCGCCGCGGUAA
rnacentral:rRNA from 1 species